AAAACAUCGCCUCUUGAUAAGAGGUCCAGCCUGCCCAGUGACUUAGUUCAACGGCCGCGGUAUCCUAACCGUGCGAAGGUAGCGUAAUCACUUGUUCUUUAAAUAAGGACUAGUAUGAAUGGCACCACGAAGGUUAUACUGUCUCCUUUCCCUAAUCAGUGAAACUAAUCUCCCCGUGAAGAAGCGGGGAUAAAAAUAUAAGACGAGAAGACCCUAUGGAGCUUUAAACAACGCAGCAAUUGCUACCAGCACUUUGACAGCAAGUUUUAGGUUGGGGUGACCAUGGAGCACAAUUUAACCUCCACGCUGAAAGAAUCUUAUUCUUAGCUAUGAGCUACGACCCUAAGCACCAAUACACUGACAUCUAUUGACCCAUUGAACAACGAACCAAGUUACCCUAGGGAUAACAGCGCAAUCCACUUCAAGAGUCCCUAUCGACAAGUGGGUUUACGACCUCGAUGUUGGAUCAGGGUCUCCAAGUGGUGCAGCCGCUACUAAAGGUUCGUUUGUUCAACGAUUAAAACCCUACGUGAUCU
rnacentral:rRNA from 1 species